rnacentral:lncRNA from 1 species
CCUCGUCUUCUCGGAUUCCACCGGCUUCUUAGUCUUCUCCAGCUUCCCUGCCUCAGAGAUACCUAUAGAUAAAGGUAGGAACUUGCAGAGAGGAAACAAGAUUUUCUUCAUUCCUAUUAGAAAAAUAAGAAGCAAAAAGAAAUCUUGAGUAAGUGCAGGCUUUAUUUCGCAUACUCAUUUUAAAAGAAUUAGUGGGUGCUAUGGUUUUCUUGAAAUAGAGCAAGUGAAAUUUUUUGGAGUUCUUUUUUUUUGUUUAAAAGAAAAAAAGGAGCUUGCAAUUCUUGAAAAUUAAGUGCUUUGUUGGUUUUUUGCAUCAUUGCAUGGAAGUUUGUUCAGUUUUAGGCUUUUCGAGUUGCAGAUAACAAAUAAGUGAUUGUAUUGCAUAUUUUGUGUUUGUAUUUUCUAAAAGACGGAUCAUGGAAACAUGUAAAUGCUGGGGGAAAAGGAGCUCCCGAAGGAGACUAUUUUGCAGAAAAAUCAAUUCCUAAAAUUUUUCAUGGGUGCUUCAAAUAUUUAUUAGCCAAAGGAAGAGCUACACUUUUCUUAUGAUGUUUGUGAUGAUGUGAUCAUGUGACGUUGGUGACUGCAAACGAUUUAUGUUCAAAGAAAUUAAAUGGAACGAUCAAAUAUCAAAGAGGUAAUAAAUAAUCUGCACAAAUAGAGGGUAAGUCCUUGUGCAAUGGUAUGAUUGCUUCAUUGAGGCCUAAAGUCGAAGGUUUGAAACAAGCAAAUAACAUUUUUAAGACACAACGGUAAAAUUGCACGCAUCUAACCCUCUUCAAACCUACUGUGAUGGGGGGUCUCAAACACUGGACCAUGUUUAUUUUAGUAAUCUACACCAAUAUCAUGGUAAUCUUGUGGAAAACACUACAUAUAAAAUGCUUUGAAAUUUGACAAUAUCAAAUUAUAAAAAAUGCUUGAGUAACUCCAAAUAAAACUCAAAAAGUCGCUUAGUUUGUAUUGUAUUCUCGUCACUCACUUUGAAUUGGCAUCAUGAAUUGUGCCACAUAAUGAGGCAACGUGGUUGUGAAAGAAUAUCGACUUUCUUGUGAUUUUUCUGAGUUACCAUAGCAUGGAUCAAUUAUAAAAUAAGAUUUUACGGGUAAACAAGGCUACAGCCCUUUGGCUGCACCUCCCUCUAUUGGGAGGAGCAUUGUUCCGAACAAAAGGGAAGAGAAAUAGAGCAUUUAUGAAGAAAUUCAAUGGUAGCCUCUCUUAUUGUCCAGAACUAUGACUUACCUGACUUCCAUCCUUUUUUUGGCUAUAAAAAAAGUUCAUAUCUAAAUUUUUAAUUGUAAAUAUAUACUCAACUCAACUAAGCCUAAUCUCGAAACUAAUUAGGAUUAGCUACAUGCAUUUUCCUCCAUUAUGCUUGGUUUAAGGCCAUACGUUCUGAAGGAUUUGAGAUAUCAAGUCUUUCUUUGUUAGAAUAAGUAUAAAGACUCAAACAGAAUGAAAAUUAUUGUUUCAGUAUUUAAUUUGGUUUGUACACCUCCUUCUUCAUUUCUCAUUACACCGGAUCUCUUUGUCAAUUUCAGAUCCCCCUUCAAAGGAGAGCACAGAUGCCAUAUAUACUCGACUUCCACAAAUGGCAUUGAAUUUAACAAAGGGGGAUUCGCUGAAAGGUACCAAUUUUGAAAGUUUUAUGUUUUGACUUCUGAUUUUUUUUUUUUUAAGCCAAAUGGGGAAAAGUCAGUAAGUCAUCACCAUUUUAUUGAAUUAGUGAAAUGAUCAUCGAAUAAAUCAAGUGAUGCAUGAAAGAAGGUCUUAGUAGAGAACCUCAAGAAGAGAGAACAAAAAAUAUCAAACCCUCCCCAGAACACCCAAAAAAAUAAAACAAGAAAAAAGGGGAAUACAAUCCACAACAGCCUUCACAAUGUGUAAAAUUCCACCCAUCAAUCUGUACAAAUUGCCGUUCAAGUAUCGCAUACAUAAACACCGAUGAUGGGCUUGUGAUCAUUAAGUUUUACUUGAUUCAUCACUGGCAUCACAGCUGCCCAAUAGGUGGUGAAAGAAGACUUCUGAAAUAAUUAACAAGCAUAAAUUCAUACUUGAUCCAAAAAUAUUCUGAGAUUGGGAUGACCCUACAUGAAUGCAUGAAUAACCAUGUUGGAUCUGAAACCUGAUAAUAUUUAUACCGGUCGAGCAGCGUAGUGUUAGUUUAGAGUGCAUUUGCUUUGAUUUAUUGAUAGUAAGAUGAAUACAAUGCCAUAGCUACUGUCUGAUCAAACUCCUUAUGUUUCUUUAGCUUUCUUCUUCUGCCUCUUUUUUUUUUUUUUUAUCGAACUUCUAGUAAUAAGUAUUGGCUUGAUAAUUACUUGAAACCUGGAUGAAUGGUGCUGCAGAACAAUGUGACCUAUUUUCUGGGGAGUGGAUUCAUUCUUCGGGACCGCCUUACACCAAUUCAAGCUGCAGAUAUAUAGGUUCAUAUCAAGAUUGUUUGACAAAUGGUCGGCCAGACAGAGGAUACCUUUACUGGAGAUGGAAACCUUAUGGUUGUGACUUGCCCCCCUUCGAUGCAGAGAAAUUCUUGAAAUCCCUGCAAAAUAAAUCUUGGGCAUUUGUUGGUGAUUCAAUUCUCCGCAAUCAGAUCGAGUCAUUGCUGUGCCUUCUUUCUCAGGUGCAUCUUAUGCAUUUUGUUAAACAAAUUGAUUUUUAUAGUAUUUGCUGAAAAUAUAAUUUUAGAAAAAAUAUUUCAUACGCCCCAUCUCUUCACAUAUCUAUCGCAUGCAGCAGCCAUUAAUCUCAUUAAAUAGGUUUUCCAAGUCACCAAAAUAGUUUACUCUGUAUAGAAUUUGGAAGCUAAAAAAUGGUCGGCUUUGCUUGUUAAAGAGCAUGAAAAAUUAAAAUUUAGUUUCAUAACUCGAACAGCAACUCAUCAAUUUCUUUUUUCUUUUCUUUUUAAGUAUACACUCAUAGUUUUCCUAUAAAAUACCUGUGAAUGACGAGCCAAUGCAUCCUGGUCCUCAGGUGGAAGAAGGUGAGGAGAUCUACCAUGAUGAAACAUUUCAAUCCAAGACAUGGUACUUCUCGUCCCACAACUUCACCCUUGCAUUGAUCUGGGCUCC